rnacentral:rRNA from 1 species
UACAGAGGGUGCGAGCGUUAAUCGGAAUUACUGGGCGUAAAGCGUGCGUAGACGGCUAUCUAAGUCGGGAUGUGAAAGCCCUUGGCUCAACUGAGGAAGUGCAUCCGAAACUGGCAGGCUAGAGUACUAAAGAGGAUCGCGGAAUUCCCGGUGUAGAGGUGAAAUUCGUAGAUAUCGGGAAGGAACACCGGUGGCGAAGGCGG